rnacentral:rRNA from 1 species
UACCAGCACCCCGAGUGGUCGGGACGUUUAUUGGGCCUAAAGCAUCCGUAGCCGGUUCUACAAGUCUUCCGUUAAAUCCAACUGCUUAACAGGUGGGCUGCGGAAGAUACUAUAGAGCUAGGAGGCGGGAGAGGCAAGCGGUACUCGAUGGGUAGGGGUAAAAUCCGUUGAUCCAUUGAAGACCACCAGUGGCGAAGGCGGCUUGCCAGAACGCGCUCGACGGUGAGGGAUGAAAGCUGGGGGAGCAAACC